GACCGACAGUCCAACAUUCAGACCGCCAUUAUCAUGUAACAAGUUUUUUUUAUACAUAAACGCAAAUUCGCUUAUGUAGAUAAACGAAGCAUACGAGUCUUGAGUCAGUCAUUUUCAUCUUUUAAUUUCAUGAGCGUCUUCCAGGAAAUUCAUAGCGUGACGCUGACGUAUGCCAAUAGACGUCAAUAGAUGAAUGUCUGCCAGC
rnacentral:lncRNA from 1 species